GAGUGCUUGGGGCGGUAGCCUGAUGCAGCAACGCCGCGUGAGGGAUGACGGCCUUCGGGUUGUAAACCUCUUUUAGCAGGGAAGAAGCGAAAGUGACGGUACCUGCAGAAAAAGCGCCGGCUAACUACGUGCCAGCAGCCGCGGUAAUACGUAGGGCGCAAGCGUUAUCCGGAAUUAUUGGGCGUAAAGAGCUCGUAGGCGGUUUGUCGCGUCUGCUGUGAAAUCCCGAGGCUCAACCUCGGGUCUGCAGUGGGUACGGGCAGACUAGAGUGCGGUAGGGGAGAUUGGAAUUCCUGGUGUAGCGGUGGAAUGCGCAGAUAUCAGGAGGAACACCGAUGGCGAAGGCAGAUCUCUGGGCCGUUACUGACGCUGAGGAGCGAAAGGGUGGGGAGCAAACAGGCUUAGAUACCCUGGUAGUCCACCCCGUAAACGUUGGGAACUAGUUGUGGGGUCCAUUCCACGGAUUCCGUGACGCAGCUAACGCAUUAAGUUCCCCGCCUGGGGAGUACGGCCGCAAGGCUAAAACUCAAAGAU
rnacentral:rRNA from 1 species